GAUGAAGAACGUAGCGAAAUGCGAUAAGUAAUGUGAAUUGCAGAAUUCCGUGAAUCAUCGAAUCUUUGAACGCACCUUGCGCCCUUUGGCCAUUCCGAAGGGCAUGCCUGUUUGAGUAUCAUGAACACCUCAACUCUUCAUGGUUUUCCAUGAUGAGCUUGGACUUUGGGGGUCUUGCUGGCCUGUGGGUCGGCUCCUCUCAAAUGAAUCAGCUUGCCGGUUUUUGGUGGGCAUCACAGGUGUGAUAACUAUCUACGCUUGUGGUUUUCCACCAGGGUAACCUUCAGCAGUGGAGGUUCACUGGAGCUUACAAAUGUCUCUCCUCUGUGAGGACAGCCCUUUGAAUGUUUGAUCUCAAAUCAGGUAGGACUACCCGCUGAACUUAAGCAUAUCAAUAAGCGGAGGA
rnacentral:misc_RNA from 1 species